rnacentral:lncRNA from 1 species
AUGAGAAACCUAUCUGCAAUGGCCUUGUUGUUUAAUUCAAUCUUAAUUGGACACAAACCGUCAAAAUGCGAGGGGUUGCUGGAGGACCUAAAGUGCGCAAAGGUAUUUUGUGAUGGAAACAGUCACCAUCUGCAGGUGAACAGGGUCCCUGAAGCUCCGCUCCUUUGUUUCAGGCUGACUUGGCAUUGCUUGGAAAUUUUGAAAGGACCUGAAAGAGUUUCAGGGACGCAGCGCUUAACCUUUGGAGCAUACGCUCCGUUUUGCGGGAAGGCUAAGCUCUGGGCUCAGGGCUGGGCACCGGGGAUCCCGCACGGGGCGCGGCCGAGUGGAGGUCUCGGCGGCCUCCGCGCCCCACGGGGAGCCCUCGCGGGGGACCGGGCGCCCCGGGGCGGGGCUGGGGGGCGGGGGGGCGGGGCAGGGCGGGGCGGGGGACCGCUGCCCGGGGGGCUCCGCCGCUGCCAGGGGGUGACCGGCCGGCGGGGAGCGCCAGCGGGGGCGGAGGGCGCCUGGGGUCCAGGCCGCCCCGGGGCGCAGGGCGGGCAGCUGGCACCGCGGCGCGGGCGGGCCGGGCACGUGGGCGCCUCCGUCACACCCGCGCUCACACCCGCGCUCACACCCGCGCGCACGCAGCCGCGCGCCGGCAGCUCGCGCCCGGGCCCCGCCGACACGCAGGCGCCGCCGCCCCCCGCCCGCCCGCGGCCGCGACCCCCCGGCUCCCCGCCCCGGGCCCGCCCCUCCGGCCUCGCUGCUGCAGCUGCCGGAGCCGACGCGGCGGCAGGUGCGCGGUGGAGCCCGCGAACGGUAGGGACGCGCCCGGGCUGCCGAGGGCCCGGGGCUGGGCCGGGCGGGGCUCCCCGGCUGCCGCCCCGGGAGGGGGGGGACGGAGCCCGGGGGGGGGGACGGGGCCCGGGUGGGACUCGGGGGGCCCCGCGGGGCGGGAGGGGCAGCUGCGAGGCUCGGAGCGCGAAGUGGGGCCGGGCGGGCGACCUCCAGGCUGCGUCCCGCACCUGUGCCCGAUGCGGGGCGGGGGGUGUUGGCGAGCAGGGGCAGCGCACGGGUCGGGACGAGCCGCCGGCCUCCCCUCCGGCCGCGGGGUCGCCCCCGGGCCCCCCAGACCUGGGCGCUCCAGGUGGAGCCCGGGCGGGCUGCAGGGGUGCGGCCCGAGCCGCGCGGGUCCGAGGGCAAAGUUGGUAG